rnacentral:lncRNA from 1 species
GCGUACACAACAACGUUAACAACAACAACAUCAAACAAUAACUUCAACCAAGAAAACCAUAAAACCGACAUCAACAACAAGGACAUCAACGAUAUUCCACCAUACCUACGACAACAGACAACAACGGAUAACACCAGCUGCAACGGUGGCUUCAGCCGACCCAACAGCAACGAAAAACCCGACACCAAUAACAUCAACCCGAUCUGGUGCGAACACCAAAAUUCAACCAAGCCAACCUCUCUCUCUAUUUUAUCUCUGCAUUUUUUAGACCUAGAGCCAUCCUUUUUUAAUUUUUUUGCUCAAGAUUGUGUGUAUUCAAUAUCAAAAUUCAAUCCAAAUCAGGAGAUGUCAAUUCAAAUUCAAAAUUUUGGGGAUAUGUUUCUCUAUUUUAAAGAUAAAAAAAUUAAUAUCUUCCCCCGUAAAUAAGGAUUGAGGGGAAGAAGGCAAAAAAGGGGAAUUUUGGAAAAAAAUUUGGAGAUUCUGGGGCGCACACUCCUAAUCUUACGCAAUCAAAAUUCUCAAAGAGCCCUCGAAAGAUUGAAAUUCGACGUUCUCGUUCAAACUCUAUUGGUUAGAAUCAAUUCGAGGUGGUGGAAGCUUCAUCGUCAUAAAUUUGUUCGUCCCAGUUUCUGCUCCCGAAAAGGUAAAAAUCUCAUUACGUUUCUUCUUCGACUUCUUCUUUUCUUCCUGUUUAAAGGUUACAGUGUAUAGUUUUGAUGGUAUUCUGGUUGUUCCCGCUCUUGUGAAGUGGAUUUGAUAAUGAAACCUAUGUAAAAGCUUCAGCUUUCAUAUCUAUUUUUUCCAUGUUGAAUGAUUUAUUCAUCGCGGUGGUUUGAUCAUGUUUGAACCUUAUUAUAUGGAUAAGGACUUAGGACUGGGUGUUAAUUGUAUUGUUGGAGCUGUAUCGACAGUCUCCAGUUUGUUAGUUGGAAUGGUAUUAGUUUGAAUAUUGAUUGUGUCGAAAACUGAACUUAUUUUGUCUCCGCAUUAUGUCCUUGUAGUUUCUGUAAGUAAAUGGUACAAGGGAUUCUCAUUAAGGUGAUGUUCUUGCUUUCGGCUAUCCGUUGCUUAUAUGUGUGUCAUUAUGUGAAGGUUCGAUUUGUCGCUGAUAUGUUUCUGAUUUAGUUCCUUUUCGGCGUUGUUUAUUGGCUUUAAAUCUUUGGUUUUAAAAAAUAUUUUGUUGGUAUCUUAUAUUCACAACUUGGCCAUGUGUUCGUAAAAGGCUAAUAAUAUCUUUGCUUGUUUUGGGGUACAAUGUUUGAAGAUAAAUAUAAAAGUGGUCUAUUUGCACUAUGGCUUAAUGUGUUUUGUCGAUUUUUUUAUUUGUUAUGGAAGAAAUUUGUGAGAUUUUCAUCUACACAUUUAUGUUGUUGGCAUUGCUUUCUUAUUUGAUCGAUGUGUGGAUGAUUAAGGAUUUCUAGUUUUCCCCUCUCUUGCUCUUUGGUUUCAAUCCUGUGAAAGGUUACAACAAAUUAUAUUUGUAUAUUUUUACUAACUAUUAAAUCUAACCUAAUAAAUACUCCAAAUCUUUUGUUGUGAAAUUAUCUUGUCCAUAAGAUAUUUAUUCUACCAAAUAGAUGAUAGCUGGAUUGAUUGCUUUGAUAUGUUAAAAUCGUUUUUUUCUGUAAUCAUUUAUUCUUUCCGGAUUGAUUGUUUUGUGUUUUUUUAAUUAGAUAAGGAGUGAUACAAUGUGUUGACUAAUCCUUAUCGCAUUUUCUUAUUUGCAUGAACUUCUCCAUUGCGGAGUCUCUCGAAUACUCUUUCCUUGAUUCUGUUGGAUUAAAUCCAAAUUGCAUCGAGUAAAGAUCCGUACCAAAUUCAAAGUGGACUAACAAUGAAGUAAAAUUAGACAGAUACAAAGCUGUAUACACAGAUAUACAGCGGUAUACUAAGGAUAUACGAUUGAAAGUGAGAGAGGAAUGCUAGUAUACUGGUGGAAAUGCAUACGUAAAUGACCAACAUAUGGUCAUGUAUAUUUCAGAUAAACAAAAACGCAGCAGCAGUAAAACUGAUAUAUUGUCAGUAUACAACUGGAUAUACACUGCAGAAAUGGACCAAAAGUUCAUAAAGAAUACGCUCAAAAGUUUGGCUAGAUUUGAAAAGGGCCCAAUCUUAACUCUUUUCUCUUUAAUUUUCAUUUUAAACUUAUUUAUUUGUGCACUUAAUUAAUUAGUCUAGCCAAAUCCCCUUAGAUGUUGCUAUUUUUAGUUAUCGUCAUUUUCUUCUCGUUACUUAUUUGAUUUUUUUCUAUCCACUUUAUCCUUUAAAAAUACUUAUUUGAUUUUUUUCUAUCCAC